UGGGGAAUUUUGGACAAUGGGGGAAACCCUGAUCCAGCAAUGCCGCGUGCAGGAUGAAGGCCUUCGGGUUGUAAACUGCUUUUGUACGGAACGAAAAGGCUCCUUCAAAUAAAGGGGGCCCAUGACGGUACCGUAAGAAUAAGCACCGGCUAACUACGUGCCAGCAGCCGCGGUAAUACGUAGGGUGCAAGCGUUAAUCGGAAUUACUGGGCGUAAAGCGUGCGCAGGCGGUUAUGUAAGACAGAUGUGAAAUCCCCGGGCUCAACCUGGGAAUUGCAUUAGUGACUGCAUAGCUUGAGUGCGGCAGAGGGGGAUGGAAUUCCGCGUGUAGCAGUGAAAUGCGUAGAUAUGCGGAGGAACACCGAUGGCGAAGGCAAUCCCCUGGGCCUGCACUGACGCUCAUGCACGAAAGCGUGGGGAGCAAACAGG
rnacentral:rRNA from 2 species